rnacentral:lncRNA from 1 species
UUGAACUAGCAGCAUGUUAACCAAGUCUGUUCAGAUACAUUCCAGGGUCCCCCAGUCUCAGGGGCUGGUCCCCAGAGGUCAGGCACGCCUAUCAUGCCCAGCCCACAAGGAUCAACUGGCCCAUUCUCUCCUGCAAGUACAAGAAUGAAUGCUUCCAACUCACGGCCAGAUUCGUCAAGUUCUGGUGGUGAGAGUAUGUAUACGAUGAUGAAAUCAGCUCCUGGAGGAAGUAUGCCAGGGGUAAGAUUAAUAUCGUUAAAUGUACUGGAUUUAAGUGAUCAUUUCUGUGGCUAACUAGUUGAUUGAUCUGUGUAACAAUAAGUGAACGGUUGGAAGUAUGCCAGGGGUAAGAUUAAUAUCGUUAAAUGUACUGGAUUUAAGUGAUCAUUUCUGUGGCUGACUAGUUGAUU